rnacentral:rRNA from 1 species
AGCAACGCGAAAAACCUUACCUACCCUUGACAUGUCUGGAAACCCGAAGAGAUUUGGCAGUGCUCGCAAGAGAACCGGAACACAGGUGCUGCAUGGCUGUCGUCAGCUAGUGUCGUGAGAUGUUGGGUUAAGUCCCGCAACGAUCGCAACCCUUGUCAUUAGUUGUUACGCAAGAGCACUUUAAUGAGACUGCCGGUGACAAACCGGGAGGAGGUGGGGAAGGCGUCAAGUUCUCAUGGCCCUUAUGGGUAGGGCUUCACACGUCAUACAAUGGUCGGGACAGAGGGUCGCCAACCCGCGAGGGGGAGCCAAUCUCAGAAACCCGAUCGUAGUCCGGAUCGCAGUCUGCAACUCGACUGCGUGAAGUGGGAAUCGCUAGUAAUCGCGGAUCAGCAUGUCGCGGUGAAUACGUUCCCGGGUCUUGUACACACCGCCCGUCACUCCAUGGGAGUGGGUUUACCAGAAGUAGGUAGCCUAACCGUAAGGAGGGAGCUACCACGGGGGGUUCCGGGA